ACGUAGGAAUCUACCUGGUAGCGGGGGACAACAUGUGGAAACGCAUGCUAAUACCGCAUACGCCCUACGGGGGAAAGCGUGGGACCUUCGGGCCACGCACUAUCAGAUGAGCCUGCGUAGGAUUAGCUAGUUGGUGGGGUAAAGGCCCACCAAGGCGACGAUCCUUAGCUGGUCUGAGAGGAUGAUCAGCCACACUGGAACUGAGACACGGUCCAGGCUCCUACGGGAGGCAGCAGUGGGGAAUCUUAGACAAUGGGGGCAACCCUGAUCUAGCCAUGCCGCGUGAGUGAUGAAGGCCUU
rnacentral:rRNA from 1 species